rnacentral:lncRNA from 7 species
AGAGCAAGUGACACGGCCAGUUUGUACUCUGAUACAUCCAAGUGAGUUCACCUUUUUGCUUCUGGAUAUAAAUCUUCGUUUUGCUGAAGAGGUUCUGAUAUGACUGACCAUAAGGAAAGAAAGGAGUACACGUCCUCAGAAGCAGUACGAAUGGGGAUGUGCAUCCAACUGCCAAAAUGCACUUUCCAGAAUCACUGGAGGAAGGAGGGCACACCGAGUAUCCUCAGCACUAGACAGAAAGAGCUGCUCUGCUGCCAAAGUGUGGAUUUUGUUGACCUGAAGCUCUUUCCCUUGGAAAAGGGUCUUCCCAGCAGGCAGCAGAGGACGCACUUGUGGGAUGGGAUCUGCAGAGCUGCAGCUUUGGCUGCUUUGAGCAGCUCUGCAUCGCCCACCACCAAUGCAAUGGUGGAAUUGGCUGAGUGGAAAUUCACUCCCUCAGAACGUACCCCGUUACUGUGGAGCAAAUGUAAAAACAUGCUGCUGGAAGCACAUGCCAACAUUUGGCUCAGCGUGGGUUGCCAACCAGGGCAACUGGGGCCUGACCUUGUGGCAAACAGCAUGUGCUGCCAGAAAUGCCUCAAAAACCUCAGGGCUCUUCAUAUUUUUAUACAGAGGAAUGAAGAGAUGAUCCGCUCACAGAGUGUACUUCAGAGGACAAUGCCAAUCAAAAUGAAAUUCUAAGCUGUAUGUUCGUGCUUGGCAAUAACUUUUUCUGAAUGAUGUAAAAUGCUAGCUAGAAAUAUGAUUUCCAUCUAGAUUAAUACGUGCUGUUGUAUAUGCCACCGGAGCUAAAGAAAAUACUUCAAAAAUACCACAUGAAAUCUUCUAAAUGAGACUGCAGGUAAAAAUUGAAAUAAUUUCCUCUGGAACCCAUAUAAUCUUGAGCUUGUUAUCAACAUCUGAAUAGCAUUUCUGAAGCAGCAGCCAUAUGCGCUCACAAAUUAGGGCACAUAUUGUACACUUAUUUUUUUGUAGUUAGAAAUGCUCCAAAUGAAGGAAGAAAUCUUUGUUGUUAGGAAAAGUGAUGAUAAUUGAAAAAACGACCUUGUCCAACUUGUUGUUGCCUACUGUAGGCUACCGGGCACCUGCUUGAUGUUUUUCUUGUAUAUCUGUAGGGCACAGGAGUGUCCUUCAGAGAAACUCUUUGGCUUCCUGGGAAUUUGCUGAAGACCACGGAACAGAACUGAAUAUUUUCCUCUUCUAAAAAUCAACGGUAGUUGUAAAUUUAAUAAAUAUUACAGAAAUUGUAAC